rnacentral:lncRNA from 1 species
ACAAGAAAGAAGACAACACCAAUUGUCAUACAUGUAUAUAUUUUAGAGUCUUAAUAUAAUAUUUACUGAUUUUAUUAGAUUUGAUUUAAAUAUUCCAUCUAUAUAUUAAGAUUGCUUAAAGAGACAAGUGGUGGCUUUGGUUCAUCACAUGGAUGGGCCUUUGUUUUUAUCAAACAUUGCACAGGACAAUGUUUAUGUUUUAUGGAGUUUACAACCUGUUUUUACAAUUCAUUACUAUGUUUUACAAUUGAUUGGGGAGUUCUAUAGGGCAUUUUUCAUGGCAUUGCACAGGGCAUUUUCCUACCAUCCUUUGCAUUGAUGGCAGAGCAAUACUACUCACAUUCCUUAGCUUUGUUACAUACUUAUCAAGACUUUGAUUUAGUGAUUGAAUUGCAGUGAAUGAAGCAAAGCAAAGUGAUGUUGAUGUCAAAGUUCUAUUAAUGCAUUGAUGGCAAAGUUUGUAAGAGAAUGUUGGAUUUCCAUUGUUGGAUUAGUGCAGACAAUCAAUAUUGUUGGUAUGCAUUGUUUUUGUUUUUGUUUUUUUUUUCUAGUUGGGAGAUUUUAAAGUAAAUAGGUAGCUUUUCACCAAAAGAUAAUCAUAGGUGUAGAAGAGAAACCACUGUGCAUUACCCUGUGAAUGCCAUCCUGCUCAUUUUUACUCCUAGUAUAGAAAUCUAGACCACACUGUUCAUGGUAAGCUGCACCCAUACUUGGUUCUUUCUUCUUCUUGAUUUCUGUAAUUAGAUAUAUUCAUUAAAAAUCAAGUAGUUUUCAAGGCAUCCUGUCUGUAUAUGUUACCUUCAUGUAUUGAUCUUCAUUACUAGGUGAUUAGAGUUCAUAAGCGUCAAGGCAGAGUUCAUAAGUAUUAGGCUUAUAAAUUGAUAUAACCAUUGUAGCAAGUAAAUUUCCAUGUCAACAUCUGAUUUGUAAGUUCUAAAAUUUUGCCUUACAAACUCCAUGGUAACUGCAUGGGUUUAGUUAGGGUGAUGUUCUUGCUGUCUUUGCCCAGUGAAUUUUCAUUAAUUCAAUGACUUUGCAUUUGAUCACUUGAUCACUUUAUAUUUGACCACAUCAGGUUGGAUUUUUAGAUUCGUUUGCGACAGCAGUUUGUGAUGUUGUAGGAACAUCUCCUUUGCAUUUUUGUGUUAUUUUUUGUCCCAUGGUGCAGGCCUCAGUCCAUGUAUCAAGCUUUUCACACAUAUCUAUGUGUUUGGCUCUUAAUAGGUAUAGCUCUUGUUGAUCAUGGUUUUCUCCGUUUGUUAUUUUUUUUUAUUUUUUUUAUUUUUGUGUUUUUUUUCUGCUAGGUUGUGCAAGAGGGCCUCUCCCUUGCUGUGUAAGCAUUAGUCCACUCUACCACCCAUUGUGCUAUUAUGCUAUUAUGCUAUCAUAUCAUGGUUUUGGUGUGGGUUUCAUGUAGAUUGUAGCUAAGUUCAUUUUUUCUUGCAUAUUUUUCAUUAAGUCCUCUGCAGUUUCUGCAUGUUAUAAAAAAUACUUGCAGGUUGAUUCACUCCUUUUGAUUUCUUUUGAUAUCUUUCAUGUGUGAAGUUUCUACUACGGAAUCAAACCCCGUUUUUUCAUGAUCUUCACAAGUCAGUUCAAUGGAGUUUGUUUGUGCAUGAGCUACAUGUUGUGGUACUACAGUGAAGUUUCAGGUGUUUAAGUGAUUUGUGAAAAAGUUCACUUGCAAAGAGAUAAAGAAAAACAAUGCAUAAUCAAUCAAGAGUGCGGGUGCAAGUUGUAAAUGGUAAGGCUCAAAGAUCAGCUUGCAAAGCUUGAAUGUUCCUGACAGCACAUCAACUUGUGUUCCCCUACCCCUUAUCCUCUCUUGGAUCUGACCUUUGAGGCGAGUUUUUUUGCUUUUCAUUCGCGUUUUAAGUAACAAACAAUCAGUGCGUGUAAUAUAUAGGAGAAUCAUGCUCAAUGAUCCAUGCCAAAAGAUGUAGAGAAGUAGAGAUGUGUAAUUGGCAAUUUCACAUUGCAAGCUAAUGCUAUUAGCUAAUGUAAUAUAUAAUAAUGGUUGCAAUAUGCUUUGGAUGCUUUGUGUGUAGCAGAAGACAUUGCUAGCAUGUGUUAUGACAAGGUUAUAUGGAGAGGGCAAGUGGAUGUAGGAUUUUGAUGAGCUUUAUCUAGGAGGAGAAAUUUAGAAAUUUGAUGCUUAGCUCAAGUCUUCUCAUUGGGGAAGGUUCACGUCUUAUGCCUAAUAUCAAUAUUGAUGAUCAAUGUAAACAAUUGUUGAUGAAAAUCUGGGCUGUAACUCAGCAAUAUUUUGAUGACCUUAACUUCUUUGAUGACACAUAAGAAUAUGAUUUAGAGGAUCCUGCCAAAAAUCUGCACAUUUUGCAACAGGAUCCUGCCAACAAUCACCAUGUAGGCUUUUCCUUUAUUCCAUUGUAGAUGUAGUUUACUCUGAACCUGUAAUAAACCUGUGUUGCAAAGAAACCAUGGAAUUCAGAUGAAGAAUUCACAAGAUAGAAGUAAAUUUUGCAUUUGUGACAAUGGUACAAAUCCCAAUUUGUUCAACUAAAUAUUCUAAAUUUAUAUACUAAAUUCUAAAUUCUGCAAUUUAAUUAUCAUUUUGCAGAGAAACUGUGGAUUCAAUUUGCAUUUUGAGAGAACAUUUUCUUAUGUAACUCAACCAGAGUGUAAUGAGGAGGUUAAAGAUUGCAAAGGAUUUUGUAUGAAAGUACAGUGAAUUUAUAGUGUUAAACCACUGAAAGGUAUGCAGGAUGAGAGACAUUUGGGUGAGUUGGGUUUUAGUUGCAUGAUAAGGAGUAACUCAAGGCUCAGAAAUUUUGACAUAAAGUUGCAACUCUGUUUGUAACUGUGUUGGGAAGAUGAUUGGAUCCUAUCUCAUAGUAUUUGAUCACAUAAUCAUCGCAUAAAAAAUAUGUUUAUUAUAGCAUCAGAUAGGCUACAAAACCAUGCCUACAAACAAGAAACUGUCAUGGUCUUUUAUUUGUUUGUUUAUUUUUGCAACAUCAAAUGCUCAAGGCAGAUGGUCAUGAUUACAGAAAAAAUUGAAAUUCAUAAAUCCAAAGUAAAUUGUUACGAUUUGUAUUCUUUUAGUUAUAAGUACCUGCUCUAGUGGACCAAUUAUUUUAAUUCCAAUAAUUAUUGAAAUGAAUUAUUGAAAUAAUUUCAUUAAUAUGAUAAUUUAUUGAAAUGAUUAUUAUAAAUUAUUUUAGGUCACUUUUUCCAUGACAACGACACAGGUUUAGCUAGUCUGUAAAUAAUAACCAAUGGAUUUUAUAAGUUACUCUCUGAAAAUGAUCUAAAGUAUUCUGAAUGGACUCAAAUGCUGAAUUGAAAAAUACGUUGGUCUUGUUGCUGUUAAUGGAUUUCAUGGCAGAAAAUGGUCAAAUGUUAUUAUUUCAACCACAAGGUAUUAUGUUGAUUCUGUGUUUGAUGGAGUGAUACAUUUUUGUAAAAGAUUUACAUCAUCACUCUAUGUUAAUACCUUGUGGUUGAAAUAUUCUGUGUUUGAUGGAGUGAUGCAUAUAUGUCUAUUUGCAUAUAUAUAUAUAUAUAUAUAUAUAUUUUAAGAUAUAUUUUAAAAAAAUCUUUUGAAGAUGUAAAAUAUAUCCUUAAUAACUGACUAGGUUUCAAAAUUGGGUAAAAUAUAUCAGAACCAGAUAGCAUCCACAUAUUAUUAUGAUAUUGAAUUAACACUACUUAAUAAAUAAUAAAUAAUAAAUAGUAUUAUCUUAUAUAUUAUAUUAGAUAUAAAAAUAAAUUUGUGUUUAGACCAUAGAUAUUAUUGUGCAAACUAUUAUUGUAUUAAUGAGUUUGUCUAAGAUUGUUUGCAAUUAUUUUUUAUGCUUCUUUUAUUGACUUAUUGAAAAAUUAGUAAUAAGUAAUGACUUAAAUUAUUUUUUUAAAUUUUUUUUGUGUUGUAGCAAAACUAAAACCUAUCUUAUAAUCCAAAAAUAAUUCAUAAAUAUUAUUGUAAUCCGCUAUCAUAUUAAGGUCACAUCGAGUAUAAAAUUUAGGUUAAAAAUUCUACUAUAAGAGUAUAUCUUAUGUAAAAAAAAAAAAAAAA